rnacentral:rRNA from 1 species
UUAAGCUACUAAGAGCAUAGGGAGAAUGCCUAGGUACCAAAAGCCGAAGAAAGACGUGAUAAGCUGCGAAAAGCCACGGGGAGAAGCAAAUAUUCAAUAAUCCGUGGAUGUCUGAAUGAGGAAACUCUAACCAAGAAAAAAGUUGGUUAAUCCAUACAUGAGUAAAGUAGUGUAUAGGAGGGGAACGUGGGGAACUGAAACAUCUAAGUACCCACAGGAAAAGAAAGAAAACUCGAUUCCUAAAGUAGUGGCGAGCGAAAUAGGAAGAGCCCAAACCAGAAGAAGAAAUUCAUCUGGGGUUCGGACUACAUAAUUGAUUCAAUGAGUUUAGUAAAAUUGUUUGGGAAAGCAAACCAAAGACGGUGAAAGUCCAGUAUACGAAAAACAAGUUGACAAGGUAGAAUCCAGAGUAGUGCGAGACACGUGAAAUCUCGUAUGAAAGAGCGGGGACCACCCCGUAAGGCUAAAUACUAAUUGGUAACCGAUAGUGAAGAAGUACCGUGAGGGAAAGUUGAAAAGAACCCCGGGAGGGGAGUGAAAUAGAACCUGAAACCCUAUGUUUACAAGCAGACAAAGCACGUUAAGGUGCGAUGUCGUACUUUUUGUAGAACGGUCCGGCGAGUUAUUUUAUAUGGCAAGGUUAAGUACUAAAGGUACGGAGCCGAAGAGAAAUCGAGUCUGAAGAGGGCGAAUAAGUCAUAUGAAAUAGACCCGAAACCGAGUGACCUAUCCAUGUCCAGGCUGAAGCUUGAGUAAAAUCAAGUGGAGGGCCGAACUCAUAGACGUUAAAAAGUCUCGGGAUGAGGUGUGGAUAGCGGAGAAAUUCCAAUCGAACUCGGAGAUAGCUGGUUCUCCUCGAAAUAGUUUUAGGACUAGCCUUGUUUCGUAGCAUUUGGGGGUAGAGCACUGAAUGAGGUAGGGGCCAACACGGUUACUGAACUCUAUCAAACUACGAAUACCAAAUGUGUAAGAACAAGAGUCAGACUGCGGGAGCUAAGUUCCGUGGUCAAAAGGGAAAGAGCCCAGAUCGUCAAUUAAGGUCCCAAAGAUAUAGUUAAGUGGAAAACGAUGUGAUUUUGCGUAAACAACCAGGAUGUUGGCUUAGAAGCAGCCAUUCAUUCAAAGAGUGCGUAAUAGCUCACUGGUCGAGUGAAGUUGCGCGGAAAAUUACCGGGGCUAAACUAUACACCGAAAUUGCGGAUUUGCAUAGAAAUAUGUAAGUGGUAGAGGAGCAUUCUAUAGUAGGACGAAGCAUAAUCGAAAGGAUAUGUGGACGAGAUAGAAGAGAGAAUGCCGGAAUAAGUAGCGAAAGCAUGGUGAGAAUCCAUGCCAUCGAAAGUCUAAGGUUUCCUGGGGAAGGUUCGUCCGCCCAGGGUAAGUCGGGACCUAAGGAGAGGCCGAAAAGCGUAUCCGAUGGACAGCAGGUAGAAAUUCCUGCACUACGUAAUACUUAAAAGACAUAAAUGACACAGGAGUGGAAGAUAAGCGAGGAAGAGGAAAGACUCGUAUCGAAAGAUAUAGUGAAAAUUAAAGUAACGAAUUAUCAAGAAGCUAAUGGCGAGAAAAGUUUAUGGAUAUUGUAUUAAGUACCCGUACCGCAAACCGACACAGGUAGAUGAGGAGAAGAUCCUAAGAUGAGCGAGAGAAGCAUUGUUAAGGAACUCGGCAAACUGACCCCGUAACUUCGGAAUAAGGGGUGCUGGAGUAAAAUCCAGUCGCAGAGAAUAGUCCCAAGCAACUGUUUAACAAAAACACAGGUUUCUGCUAAAUCGAAAGAUGAAGUAUAGGAGCUGACACCUGCCCAGUGCUGGAAGGUUAAGGGAAAGAGUUAGACGCAAGUCGAAGCUUAGAACUAAAGCCCCAGUGAACGGCGGCCGUAACUAUAACGGUCCUAAGGUAGCGAAAUUCCUUGUCAGGUAAGUUCUGACCCGC